ensembl:rRNA 5S_rRNA 5S ribosomal RNA
GUAGGCAGUCAUAUCACUCAAGCUCAAGCCAAGACUGCUUGCCCACUGAAACUAAGCAGGGCUGAGCCUGGUCAUUAUCUGGAUGAGAGACCUCCUGGGAAAUCUAGGUCACUGCUGGAA